CCUUGCUGAUGAGACAUUACUUCAGGUCCGUGUUUUUGAUUUCUAUGAUAAUAAUUGAAGUUCUGAAGGG